UACGUAGGGCGCAAGCGUUUGUCCGGAAUUAUUGGGCGUAAAGAGCUCGUAGGCGGCUUGUCACGUCGGGUGUGAAAGACCGGGGCUUAACCCCGGUUCUGCAUUCGAUACGGGCUGGCUAGAGUGUGGUAGGGGAGAUCGGAAUUCCUGGUGUAGCGGUGAAAUGCGCAGAUAUCAGGAAGAACACCAAUGGCGAAAGCAGCUCUCUGGGACGGUACUGACGCUGAGACGCGAAAGCGUGGGGAGCGAACAGG
rnacentral:rRNA from 1 species